rnacentral:snRNA from 1 species
GAUUCCCUUCUAGGAUCAUCCGAUAAAAACUGGAACGAUGCAGAGAAGAUUAGCAUGGCCCCUGUGCAAGGAUGACAUGCACAAAUCGAGAAGUGUACUCAUACCGC